rnacentral:rRNA from 1 species
UACGUAGGGUCCGAGCGUUGUCCGGAAUUAUUGGGCGUAAAGAGCUCGUAGGCGGUAUGUCGCGUCUGCUGUGAAAGACCGGGGCUUAACUUCGGUUUUGCAGUGGAUACGGGCAUGCUUGAGGUAGGUAGGGGAGACUGGAAUUCCUGGUGUAGCGGUGAAAUGCGCAGAUAUCAGGAGGAACACCGGUGGCGAAGGCGGGUCUCUGGGCCUUACCUGACGCUGAGGAGCGAAAGCAUGGGUAGCCAACAGGAUUAGAUACCCCUGUAGU